rnacentral:rRNA from 1 species
ACCACUUAUUACUGCCAACCCAUCAACAGUAUUGAAUAAUUUCAUAAAUUAUGAAAACUACCAUGCUAGAACUAGUAACAAGAAAAUGAAUUUCUCCAAAGUGUAAACAUAAGCCAAAACGGACAGCCCAUUGGUGAUUAACGACUUUGAACCCAUUAUAGCAAAAUAUCUAGAAAACCCUAUACUUAAUACCGUUAACCUUACACAAGAACUCUUCUGGAAAGAUUAAAAGGAAGAGAAGGAACUCGGCAAAUUUUAACCCCGCCUGUUUACCAAAAACAUCGCCUCUUGCUUAAUUAUAAGAGGUCCCGCCUGCCCAGUGUUUCAAUCAACGGCCGCGUGAUCUAAACGCGCGAAGGUAGCAUAAUAAUUUGUUCUUUAAAUCAGGACUUGUAUCAAUGGCAUCACGAGGGUUAUACUGUCUCCUCUCCCCAAUCAGUGAAACUAAUCUCCCUGUGAAAAAGCAGGAAUGAGACCAUAAGACGAGAAGACCCCAUGGAGCUUAAAACAAGGCAGCAAUCCAAUAACAAAACCAAAACAAUCUUAAACCCUGUAUGCCAGUUUUAGGUUGGGGUGACCACGGAGCAAAAUAAAGCCUCCACAACGAGAAGGGAUUAUUCCCUUAUCCAAGAGACACGCCUCUAAGAAUUAUUAAAAUAACGUCUAAUGAUCCGAUCAUCGACCAAUGGACCAAGUUACCCUGGGGAUAACAGCGCAAUCCACUCUGAGAGCUCCUAUCGACGAGUGGGCUUACGACCUCGAUGUUGGAUCAGGAUAUCCCAGUGGUGCAGCCGCUACUAAAGG